rnacentral:rRNA from 1 species
GAUGAACGCUAGCGGCAGGCUUAACACAUGCAAGUCGAGGGGUAGAGGCUUUCGGGCCUUGAGACCGGCGCACGGGUGCGUAACGCGUAUGCAAUCUGCCUUGUACUGGGGGAUAGCCCAGAGAAAUUUGGAUUAACACCCCAUAGUAUUUUCGGUUGGCAUCAACUGAUUAUUAAAGUUUUUCGGUACAAGAUGAGCAUGCGUCCCAUUAGCUAGUUGGUAUGGUAACGGCAUACCAAGGCUACGAUGGGUAGGGGUCCUGAGAGGGAGAUCCCCCACACUGGUACUGAGACACGGACCAGACUCCUACGGGAGGCAGCAGUGAGGAAUAUUGGUCAAUGGUCGCAAGACUGAACCAGCCAUGCCGCGUGCAGGAUGAAGCAUCUAUGGUGUGUAAACUGCUUUUGUACGGGAAGAAACACUCCUACGUGUAGCAGCUUGACGGUACCGUAAGAAUAAGGAUCGGCUAACUCCGUGCCAGCAGCCGCGGUAAGAC